AAUGAAGUGCCUGAAUAUAAGGAAUAUCAUGAUAGGAUAUAAUAUGUUAGUUUUACUUACCUUCAUUA
rnacentral:tRNA from 1 species